UUGAAAAAAAAAGUCUGUUUAACACUGCUUUUGGUUUUUUAGCAGAAGCAACAAGAUAUUUCUACGACAUUUUAGAGUGGAUAAGAUAACUGAGAACAACCCAACAGGAGUAGGAUAGAAUCUAAAACAGAAGCUGCCUAUAUGUGGAGCCCAACCCACCCAUUCAGUUCAGAAAGAAAAGGGCUGGGUUUAAACGAGUUAGAAGACUGUCUCUGACACUUGCUGCUGUGAAGAACUUUGGGCAAGUUACUUAAAUUCUCCAGGCCUUAGGUUCCUCACCUGUGAAUGAAGAAACUGAACUAACUGGCUUGUAAGAAGAGCAGGGAGGCAGUAACGCUGGAGAGCACUGGCCAAAGAAAGUAUACCUGGAUCUGCUGCCUGAGAAUGAGCUGUGUCUAGAAGACCGACUAGAAU